CAGGCUCUAUGGAACAUGCAGGAUCUACGCACAGCCCAGACUUGGAGCAGUUGAGCUUCAGGUGUCCCAAAGGCAAGGGCUUUCCUUAGACUUUGCUACUUCUACAGAAGGCUUGCACAGAACAUGCAGGCUUUCUAUGAGGAAAUGGAGGCUUAGAAAGAUUGAAAAAGUCCCCCAAGGUCACAGAGCUUGGUCCAGCCAAGAGGUUGGAAGAGGAGCAAGGAGAUCCCAGGAAGUCGCUUUACCAUGGAGAGGUCUAUCGGGCAGUCCUGUUCUGCCUUCCCAGGAAACCCGAGCUUGGAGAAAUAGCAACAUUGAGAGUGUAUAGACUCUGCAGCUCAAUCGCUUGGGUUCAAGUGCAUUAGCCACUGAAGCGACCUCAGGCAAGUCCUUAUCAUACUGUGUGUCUGUGGAAUAUCAGUGAAAUGGGAUGAUACUAAUGGCACCCGCUUCAUUCUGUUGGUGAGGAUUAAAUAUGUUAAUAAUUUGUCAAGGGCUUAGAACACCACCUGGUACAGAGUAAGUGCUAUGUAAGAGUUUGUUAAACAAAUACAAAGUUCCCUUCCCCUUGUUUGUAGUGAGGUGCUGGCUUGUGGAGGAAGGUCUGGUGGCCAGAAGGGUGGGGUAGAGGCCGAGGAUUAUCUUUGUAAUUAAGACAAAGCCCAAGAAUCCGAAGAACCCUGGAGAAUCAACCAAAAGGAAGUGGUGGUCAGGGAGACUUCUCUCCCUUGGGCAGUUCCAAAGAGGACUAAAAAAAAAAGUAAAUAAAAGAAAAAUCAAAGCCAGAG
rnacentral:lncRNA from 1 species